UACAGAGGUCCCAAGCGUUGUUCGGAUUCAUUGGGCGUAAAGGGUGCGUAGGCGGUGCCAUAAGUCGGAUGUGAAAUCUCGGGGCUCAACCCUGAAACUGCAUUCGAUACUGUGGUGCUAGAGGACUCUAGAGGAAACUGGAAUUCACGGUGUAGCAGUGAAAUGCGUAGAUAUCGUGAGGAAGACCAGUGGCGAAGGCGGGUUUCUGGAGAGUCCCUGACGCUGAGGCACGAAGGCCAGGGGAGCAAACGGG
rnacentral:rRNA from 1 species